rnacentral:tRNA from 1 species
GGGUCGGUAGCUCAGGUGGUUAGAGCGCACGCCUGAUAAGCGUGAGGUCGGAGGUUCAAGUCCUCCUCGACCCC